rnacentral:pre_miRNA from 1 species
UUUCUACUCCCUCCGUCCGAAAAUACUUGUCAUCAAAAUGGAUAAAAAUAGAUGUAUCUAAAACUAAAAUACGUCUAGAUACAUUUCCUUUUAUCCAUUUUGAUGACAAGUAUUUCCGGACGGAGGGAGUAUNNN